rnacentral:lncRNA from 1 species
AGAAACCCUCUCGGCAUGAGGAAGGUUAAUCAGGGGAGCAGGUGGUGCCAGGGGUUUGAGCAGCCUCCAUCCUUGCAGGCUUUGAAGAGCAGCGUGGAAGAAGCCUUGAGCAACGUGGUCUGGACUCGUGGCUGAGUCUGCUCUGGGGACGCGGUUGGCCAGGAGGUGUCCCGAGGUGCCUUCCAGCCUCAGUCCUGCAACACUCCCCUGUGUGUUGUGGCUUGCUUUCCCUCAGCUUGUAGGAAUCAGGGAGGGAAUUGUUUGGGGAGUAGACAGGGAUUAGAAUAAUAACAACACAGAGCCUGCAAAUGCAUAUAUGAUAUAUGUUUCAUAUAUCAUCUUUUGGAUGUUUUAGGACUGCUCUUAUGCUUGCCGCUUCUGUUGGGGAAAUGGAGAUAAUAGAGCUACUUCUUUCCUAUGGUGUCAACACUACCUGCAAAGAUUUCAGUGGCUUCACGGCUGUGGAUUAUGCUCUCCAGUUGGGACAUGUUGGGUGAGCGUUUUCAUUGCCAGGAAACUGCAAGAACAUGAACGCAGUGAAAAGACGGGAGAAGCUUCUGCUGAUGCUGCACAAGACACAGCAGUCCCCAGCAGAUUUUGCCCUCUGACGACUGAGCGUUUUCUAUUUCACACACGUGCUUUGGAUGGAGAAGGCGCCCUGCCAGCUGUAGGAGCAGAGCAGGAGGAAGAGGCUGAAUUGCCCACGGAUCACAAGGAUCGAGACAGAGAGCUGCAGCUGGAGCUUCCUGUUGCUCUUCAAAGACUAUUAAGGUUACAAGAAGCCACACGCGAAUAUACUGAGAGCCAGCGCAGUGACAUGGAGAAAGGCAUACAGUACUUGCGAGCACAACUGAACGUAUUUAAAGCUGAGGUAUGUAAAGGCUGCACUAUAAGGAUAAAUCUGAGGGUGGUUGCCCUUUCUCUGCCCUUCUUCCCCCUCUCUGCUGCUGACCAACACAGAAAGCUCUUUGGGGAGCUUUUUGCAAGCUGGAGGGGCAAGGCAGUGCAUUAGGAGCCCCCUUCUGGUGGGGAGGUAUGACCAGAGUAGUUUGCUGUCUGUAAAAACUCGCUUCUAAAAAAGGUUGGCCAAGCUGCUAGGAGACCUGGGUCUCACUGCAGCUGGCCUUUCAGUUAGAGUUCCAGUCGAGGGGAAGCAUAUUCUACAUAACGAAGCAGCAAAGGUUCUUCCCGCUGCUUAAAAUCUUCUGAGCUUCUCAAAGGGGCUGGCUGGGAGUGGCCUGUUGCUUUUCACCAUACCUCACCAGCGCUCUGGUAACCUUCACGUGGCAAUUUUUAAGGCCAACAACGAAGGCAUACCAGAGAAUAGCACUGAGGGCUUGCAGCUCUGCUUUCAGUGUGCAUGCCUUGGUUGCGAGCAUGUUCUCAGAAGCUGCAGGGAGAUUCCAG